CACUAGCCUAUGCCCAUCCCUACCUCCUCGCGGUACCGGCCGGAAACUAUGAGCAACCUUGGGGCUGUCCAUAAACUACGUAGACUCUGAGGGGGGGGG
rnacentral:ribozyme from 1 species